rnacentral:rRNA from 1 species
GACGAACGCUGGCGGCGUGCUUAACACAUGCAAGUCGAGCGAGAACCAGACCUUCGGGUCUGGGGACAGCGGCGAACGGGUGAGUAACACGUGGGCAACCUGCCCUAGAGACUGGGAUAACGUUCCGAAAGGGACGCUAAUACCGGAUGACGCGUGACCCGCCAAGUGGGUUACGCCAAAUGGUAGCUUCGGCUUCUGCUCUGGGAUGGGCCCGCGCCGGAUUAGCUUGUUGGUGAGGUAACGGCUCACCAAGGCAACGAUGCGUAGCCGACCUGAGAGGGUGAUCGGCCACACUGGGACUGAGACACGGCCCAGACUCCUACGGGAGGCAG